UACGGGAGGCAGCAGUGGGGAAUAUUGGACAAUGGGCGAAAGCCUGAUCCAGCCAUGCCGCAUGAGUGAAGAAGGCCUUCGGGUUGUAAAGCUCUUUUAGUGAGAAAGAAUAAUGACGGUACUCACAGAAGAAGUCCUGGCUAACUCCGUGCCAGCAGCCGCGGUAAUACGGAGAGGGCUAGCGUUAUUCGGAAUUAUUGGGCGUAAAGAGCGCGUAGGCUGAUUAGUAAGUUAAAAGUGAAAUCCCAAAGCUUAACUUUGGAAUUGCCUUUUAAAACUGCUAGUCUAGAGAUUUGAAAGAGGAUAGAGGAAUUCCUAGUGUAGAGGUGAAAUUCGUAAAUAUUAGGAGGAACACCAGUGGCGAAAGGCGUCUAUCUGGUUCAAAAUCUGAACGCUGAGGCGCGAAGGGCGUGGGGAGCAAACAGGGAUUAGAUACC
rnacentral:rRNA from 1 species